rnacentral:rRNA from 1 species
GACAGAGGGUGCAAACGUUGCUCGGAAUUACUGGGCGUAAAGCGCGUGUAGGCGGUGCCGCACGUCCGAUGUGAAAGCCCGGGGCUCAACCCCGGACGUGCAUUGGAUACGACGGCGCUGGAGUCCUGAAGAGGAGGGCGGAAUUCCCGGUGUAGAGGUGAAAUUCGUAGAUAUCGUGAGGAAGACCAGUGGCGAAGGCGGAUCUCUGGACAGCUCCUGACGCUGAGGCGCGAAGGCUAGGGGAGCAAACGGG